rnacentral:rRNA from 1 species
UACAGAGGGUGCAAGCGUUAAUCGGAAUUACUGGGCGUAAAGCGCGCGUAGGUGGUUUGUUAAGUUGGAUGUGAAGUCCCCGGGCGUCAACCUGGGAACGUGCAUUCAAAACUGACAAGCUAGAGUAUGGUAGAGGUGGUGGAAGUUUCCUGUGUAGCGGUGAAAUGCGUAGAUAUAGGAAGGAACACCAGUGGCGAAGGCG